AUGCUGUGGUGUGCCAUUGUUGCCUCUUUCUGUCUGGUGGUGAAGGGGGCUGUUCGGUGGAAACUGGACACAUUUUUAUCCCACUCAUUUGGUGUUUGGCUGCUGCUCAUGACAUGUACUGUGUUGGUGUUCUGUGAAAUGGAAUUCCGGGAGAGAACGCAGGGUGACUCUAUAGAGUUCUACUGUAUCUCUGAGUUCAAUGCCUCCAAGCCCAUUGGGUUCUACCUGAAACGAAAGUGGCUGCAGCCCAAAAGAGAGGUCCUGUUCAUGUAUACUGAACAUAACCCUGUGUUUCACCCUGACGUCAAAGAGCGCAUCCAUGUCAUGGGAGACCCGAGUAGUCACCGGGUCAACGUGACCCUCAGCCAGCUGAAGGGAACAGACACAGACAUCUACUACUGUGAGUUUGUCUUCCCCGAUUCCUUCAGCUUAGAUCAAAAGAUUCCAAGCAAGAUGGAGUUAUUUCUGUACGUUGUCGAUGCUGAUGCCCCAGACAGCAAGAUGGAUGUAGGCCUAAUAGAGACGUGCGCCGGGGGGUCAGCUGUUCUCCCCUGCCUUGCCCCCUACGGUUCCCCCUCGGCCAUGGAAGGGGUAUGCCUGAAGAGGCGGUGGGGCCGGGCUCCAGUGGAGGUGCUGUUCCACUCAACGCGCCCCUUUUCCUCCGCCUCGUUCCCCCCAGAAGAAAGGCUUCACCUGGGCACGGGGCUGGGCGGCCUGGCCUACAACCUCACCCUGCUAAAGAUGCAGCCGGAAGAGAGCGCCUUUUACAGCUGUGAGCUGCUGCUCCCCGGCAGGCCCGACAACAGUGCCAGGCUAGGGAGACACGUAUACUUUGUUUCUGUGCAAGAUGUUAGGUGUAGCUGUGCGGGUUACGCUCCACUGCUCUAUGCCCUUUCUGCUACUGUGGGGCUGCUACUCAUCUUCGUUAUGGCCCUGGGAGUGGCUCAUUAUGGUAAGACCCGUGUCAAACCGCAGCCCCACCAGGUCUCCAUCUACGAGGAGAUGGUCGGGGUGCGGCCCCCCAACCGGAAUGGAAAAGUGUCCCCCUCUUACCACCCGAGGCCCCCCUUUCAUCUGGAGGAAAAGGAUGCUUCCGCCUAUGACACCCCCCCCCUGAGGUCUCGACAGGAAAACCACUAUGAGAGGCCUGAAGGGGUACCGCUAGUAUCUGAAACUGUUGGGGAGAUGUGA
rnacentral:lncRNA from 1 species